UGCCAGCAGCCGCGGUAAUACGGAGGGUGCAAGCGUUGUCCGGAUUUAUUGGGUUUAAAGGGUGCGUAGGCGGGCCCGUAAGUCAGUGGUGAAAUACUUCAGCUUAACUGGAGAGGUGCCAUAGAUACUGCGGGUCUUGAGUGAAAUUGAGGUAGGCGGAAUUGAUGGUGUAGCGGUGAAAUGCAUAGAUAUCAUCAAGAACACCGAUUGCGUAGGCAGCCUGCCAGAGCUAUAUCGACGCUGAGGCACGAAAGCGUGGGGAGCGAACAGGAUUAGAUA
rnacentral:rRNA from 1 species